UAAUGGGAACGAAAUAAGCCUUUACUUUUCCCACUUAUCAACAUGUAAACAACUUUCAACUCUUACUUUCGGUACCACGCACAGCACUUUCGAUUUAAUUGAAAAAUAAGGUUAACUACAACGUGAGGAAUGGAUUUUGAUCAGUAAUUUGUAAAGUAAUGGAUGUCAAAAAUCACAGAAAGCAGCUUGCAGAAUAUCUAACCAACAAACAAAAGCAAACCACAGUUAGAUCACAGGAAACAGCAGUUCCCCUUAGAGUCAGAACUACCAGAGUACCAGCCAGCAGAAAGACUGCAGUUAAAACCUAUGCAAGGAGACUAAAAACAGCAACAAUAUAUGA